rnacentral:rRNA from 1 species
AGUAUUUGACAGUGGUGGCAACCCUGCUCAAGCCAUGCAGCGUGUGUGUAGAAGGUCGCCGCAUUGUAAAGCAUUAUUAGUCGGCAGGAAGGGCUCUAGGAUCAUACCCUGCAGGUUGGACGUUGUUAGCUGAAGAAGCACCGGCUACUACUGUGGUCGCGUCCGCGGUAAUCCAGAGGGGGCAAGCGUUAAACGGUAUUACUGGGCGGAAAGCGCGCGUAGGUGGUUCAGUAAGAUGGGUGUGAAAUCCCCGGGCUUAACCUGGGAACUGCUUUCAUAACUGCUGAGCUAGAGUACGGUAGAGGGUAGUGGAAUUUCCUGGGUAGCGGUGAAAUGCGUAGAUAUAGGAAGGAACACCAGUGGCGAAGGCGACUACCUGGACUGAUACUGACACUGAGGUGCGAAAGCGUGGGGAGCAAACA